GCUUAUGGCCACACCGCCUGGUUCACGUCCGAUCUCGUUUGAUCUCGGAAGCUAAAAUAGGUUGGGCCUGGUUAGGUACUUGCAUGGGGAGACUGCCUGGGAAUACCAGGUGCUGUAAGCU
rnacentral:rRNA from 1 species